GCAUUAAUGGGGUAGUGGUAACCUGGGUCGUUGCCAUUUGCAGAGCUACAGCACCAGCGCGUAAGCCUCGACCCGCCGGGGGUUCGAUUCCCUCUUAAUGCA